CAUGAUGAUGAGGGAACUUUUUUUAGCGUAGCCUUGAACGUUUCCCAAGCUUGGUAAAGAUUCUCUCUAUCUUUCUGCAUAAAACUCAAAAUAUCACUUCAUAAACG
rfam:Capsicum annuum cultivar Zunla-1 chromosome 12, whole genome shotgun sequence